UCCAAAGAAAAUUAGAGUGGUUCCCUAAAUCCUAAAAGACAAAAUUUGAUCUCCAUCACCGCUGCAUCUUCACACUACCGAAAAUCAUCUCUAUCUACGUUUUUGUAAUCUCCUUUGUUAUCGUCGAGCACCAGUCCCUGCUAGAUAAUUAGAUCAUUUUGGAUAUGGAACUAUGAAAAUUAGAGGUCGCAACAGAUUGGAAAUUCAACAACGCGAUGAAGAGGAUAUGUGAUAGCAUAUUGAGAAAUCGAUGGGUUGCCUGAACUACUCUCGAGCUGAACCUUAUAUUGAUCAGUUGAUAAAUAGUUAGAAUCUCACUGAAACCCAAGCACAUGAUGGUUAAUAUAAUGAGUUUAAUAGUUCUGUUUGUGGCACUAAUGUUCAACAUAAGGUCGAAUCAGUGGCAGAGAUGUACCCAAGCAAACAAAAAUAAUAGGGCCAAGCACAAGAUGUCUCAAAUAGGACGAUUCAAAAAUAUUGUUACCUAGAUAGAUGA